UUAAUUGAAGCCAAAAAGAGGCCUAUCACUGUUAAUGAUAUAAUUGAGUAAUUAACUCCAAUUAAG
rnacentral:tRNA from 1 species